UGCUUUUGAUUAUUUUAGCGGCGGACGGGGGAGUAACGUGUGGGCGACCUGCCUUUUACUGAGGAAUAAUCGUUGGAAACGACGACUAAUACCGCAUACGGUUCUUGGAAGGCAUCUUCUAAGAAAGAAAGGAUUUAUUCGGUAAAAGAUGGGCCCGCAUCUGAUUAGCUAGUUGGUGAGAUAACAGCCCACCAAGGCAACGAUCAGUAGCCGACCUGAGAGGGUGACCGGCCACAUUGGGACUGAGACACGGCCCAAACUCCUACGGGAGGCAGCAGUGGGGAAUAUUGCACAAUGGGCGAAAGCCUGAUGCAGCAACGCCGCGUGAAGGAAGACGGUUUUCGGAUUGUAAACUUCUAUCAAUAGGGAAGAAAGAAAUGACGGUACCUAAAUAAGAAGCCCCGGCUAACUACGUGCCAGCAGCCGCGGUAAUACGUAGGGGGCAAGCGUUAUCCGGAAUUACUGGGUGUAAAGGGAGAGUAGGCGGCAAGGUAAGCGAUAUGUGAAAGCCUUAAGCUUAACUUAAGGAUUGCAUAACGAACUAUCUAGCUAGAGUACAGGAGAGGAAAGCGGAAUUCCUAGUGUAGCGGUGAAAUGCGUAGAUAUUAGGAAGAACACCAGUGGCGAAGGCGGCUUUCUGGACUGAAACUGACGCUGAGGCUCGAAAGCGUGGGGAGCGAACAGGAUUAGAUACCCUGGUAGUCCACGCUGUAAACGAUGAGUGCUAGGUGUCGGGGAGGAAUUCCCGGUGCCGGAGCAAACGCAAUAAGCACUCCACCUGGGG
rnacentral:rRNA from 1 species